rnacentral:rRNA from 1 species
UCCCGGCGCCACAAGUGGGGAUCAGGGUUAUUGGGCCUAAAGCGUUCGUAGCAGGUCGGAUAAAUCUCUUGUGAAAUUGUUGGGCUUAACCUAACGGCGUGCAGGAGAGACUGUUCGACUAGAGACCGGGAGGGGUAGAGAGUAUUCCUUGGGGAGCGGUAAAAUGCUAUAAUCCUUGGAAGACUACCUGUGGCGAAGGCGCUCUACCAGAACGGGUCUGACUGUGAGGGACGAAAGCUAGGGGAGCAAU